UUCCAGUUCCAAGCUGCUCACAUUCAGCAGGCUGCUGCUAUAGCGGGAGAUAAACCUCCUAUUGCCCAUUAGCUUGCACAGUCCUCUUUGGGCUAGAAGAUGCUGUGCAAAGGAUAAGAUACGUUGUUAAUACAGCCAGUUUUCCAAGGGUGCUUUAUGAGAGAGGUUAUUUUUAUUCUUCGUUGUUUUUCUAGCUCACAAAAAUGUCAGAUAUCCUCCAGAGUACAAUAGACUUCAGCCAUGCUGCUCCUGCCUGUUUCCAUUCAUCUCCUUAAUAGAAUGAGUGAGCAGUGACCUGUCAGCACUCUGCAAUAUCACCAUCCUUCCUGAACCAUGUGAGUGACAAGGCAGACGCUUUGGGUUUUCCUUCCCAAAAGGAAAGGACUUCAGGAAAAGUGAAUGAAGGCUCCUGGAUGCAUGGGUGGAUGCAAGUCAGUACCUGCAAUCAUCAAAUUCCUGCAAGCAGCACAGGAACGUUUUCCUGACGAAAUGACUAAAAGUUUGGACAACUUAUGACAGGAACCACAGACAUUACUUCUCACUGCUUCAUUUACUUCUCAGUUGCCACACAAUGAGACUGAAAGCUGGAGAUGUUUUCAAACUGCCUGGCAUGAUUGUUGCACUAUUUGUGUGAAUGCUGGAACCCUGGCCAUCCAGGUACACUGCGGCCAUCAAAAAUAAACUGUUCUGUGGGUGACUGUGCUUCCAGCAACUUUGUAUAGAUUGGGAUAUUCCUGGAUGGAUGGAGUUCUUCCAGUCUUUUUUCACUGUGUUUUCUAGACCUCUUAUCUUUCGCCUUCCUCCCUUCUGGACUUUUUCCAGUUUGUUGGUGUUUUUGUGUCCAAAAUAGAGUAGCAGUCCCCAGGGUGGAACUAUUACCUCACUUGUCCUGAGGACUAUUCUCUUGUUUAUAAGUCCAGCAUGUUGCAUGCCUUUUUCAUAGUGAUAUUAUAGCACAGACUGAUGUUCAGGGCAUAACCCUGAUCCUGCCUUGAAGAACUUGUACCUAGCCAGUGGAUUCUCUGUGUAAUCAUAGCACCAUUUACACUGAAAAAGACAUUCAAGAUCAGUAGGUCCAACCAUCAACCUGAGCUACUCAGUCCCAUCUCUUUAAUACCAUCCAAGAUGAGGACUCUACCACUACUCUGGGCAGCCCACUCCAAUGCUUGACUACCCUCUCCAUGAAGAAAUUAUUCAUAAUAUCCAAUCUAAAUUUCCCCAUCUUGGGAACUUCGAUAUUUUCUCCCAGCAUAUAGUACUUUGGUCUUGAUCUUCUCAAAAUGUGUUGUCUUUUUAUGUGACCAUUCUUUCAGUUUUCCUGGUGGUGAGGCUGAUAACGGAAAUAAAGCUUUAUAAUGGA